rnacentral:rRNA from 1 species
UACGUAGGGCGCAAGCGUUAUCCGGAAUUAUUGGGCGUAAAGAGCUCGUAGGCGGUUUGUCGCGUCUGCCGUGAAAGUCCGGGGCUCAACUCCCGGAUCUGCGGUGGGUACGGGCAGACUAGAGUGAUGUAGGGGAGACUGGAAUUCCUGGUGUAGCGGUGAAAUGCGCAGAUAUCAGGAAGAACACCCGUGGCGAAGGCGGCUUUCUGGGCCUUACCUGACGCUGAGGCGCGAAAGCUAGGGGAGCGAACAGG